GAUGAACGCUGGCGGCGUGCCUAAUACAUGCAAGUCGAGCGAACAGACGAGGAGCUUGCUCCUCUGACGUUAGCGGCGGACGGGUGAGUAACGCGUGGAUAACCUACCUAUAAGACUGGGAUAACUUCGGGAAACCGGAGCUAAUACCGGAUAAUAUAAUGAACCGCAUGGUUCAAUAGUGAAAGACGGUUUUGCUGUCACUUAUAGAUGGAUCCGCGCCGCAUUAGCUAGUUGGUAAGGUAACGGCUUACCAAGGCAACGAUGCGUAGCCGACCUGAGAGGGUGAUCGGCCACACUGGAACUGAGACACGGUCCAGACUCCUACGGGAGGCAGCAGUAGGGAAUCUUCCGCAAUGGGCGAAAGCCUGACGGAGCAACGCCGCGUGAGUGAUGAAGGUCUUCGGAUCGUAAAACUCUGUUAUUAGGGAAGAACAAAUGUGUAAGUAACUAUGCACGUCUUGACGGUACCUAAUCAGAAAGCCACGGCUAACUACGUG
rnacentral:rRNA from 1 species